AGCUUUGCGCAGUGGCAGUAUCGUAGCCAAUGAGGUUUAUCCGAGGCGCGAUUAUUGCUAAUUGAAAACUUUUCCCCAAAAGAAAAAAAUAUAUUUACAAGUAAAAUAUAACGGAUUGCUGGCAUUGUAAACU
rnacentral:snRNA from 1 species